ensembl:lncRNA
UUAACUGUGAAGCAGCCUCGGGCAGGUCCUUCAGGAGGUUUCCAGAAGAAGGCAUUAUUAUCAAGGAGAUGACAGCCCCAUGCCUGUUACUGCCCCUGAAGACCUUCCAGUGGGACAAGAUGUGGAGGUAGAAGACAGUGAUAUUGAUGCUCCUGACCUGCUUAGGCUUAGGCAAAUGUGUGUGUUUGUGUCUUGGUUUUUUAAAAAAGGUUUUAAAAGUAAAAUCAAUAAAUAAUAGAAAAAAGCUCAUAGAAUAAGGUUAAAAAGAAAGAAAAUAUUUUUGUAUAACUAUAUAAUUUGUGUGGUUUUUUGUUUAUUUGUUUGAGACAGGGUCUCACUCUGUCACCCAGACUGGAGGGCAGUGGCACAAUCACAGCUCACUGUAGCCUCGACCUCCUGGGCUCCAGAGAUCCUCCCACCUCAGGAGGACAUCAGUCCUCCAGACAGACAUCAGGCCCCGGUGGACACCAGGCCCCAAGUGGGACACAAGCCCAAGGCGGACAUCAGGCCUGAGGAGGACAUCCGGCCCCUGGUGAACAUUAGGUGCAGGUGUCCAAGCAGGCCCUGAGUGGACAUAACAGUGUCUAGGCUGCUCCUUCAGGAAUGGCAGAAGAGCCUUUUCCGACGAUGCUGACGAAGGCUUAUCCCUCACCCCAGAUGCCUGUGGCCCUUUGUAAAAACGCGCACCCAGAUACCACAGGGCAGCCUCACCUCACCGGAGAUCCCAUCGGGCCUGCAUCUGCACGUUGUCCUUGUCCAAGAGGAGAUUCGGGAGCCUAUACGGGCACAGGCACAUGCUCUUGCCGCACGUGCAGAGAGAGGGGAACUUCCCGCGCCCCUCUGUGGAGCCAGAACCCACAGCAUGGGAGGGGCCCCUCCAGAGGCCCUGCUGCAGCUAGAGCAGCAGCUCCAGAGCCCUCCGGGCCCUGCACCGGUACAGCCAAGGACCAGCCCAGUGAGGAGCUGCCCGACCUCAGGCCACCUGCCGUAGUCACUGGCCUCAGCCCUGGAGCUGAGAACAUGGCUGGAGAUAGAGCUCCUGCGCCAUGUGCAGAGAGAGAGGAACUUCCAGCGCCCGCUGUGGAGCCAGAGCCCACGGCACGGGGAGGGCCCCUCUAGAGACAGCGCUGCAGCUAGAGGCAGCUCCAGAGCCCUCCGGGCCGUGCACCGGUACAGCCAAGGACCAGCCCAGUGAGGAGCUGCCCGACCUCAGGCCACCUGCCGUAGCCACUGGCCUCAGCACUGGAGCUGACAGCGUGGCUGGAGAUAGACAGAGAGCGGAUGGCCAGCACCACCCUAGACAGCAGCUCCCACACUGCCCCUAGUCCCGGGCAUGGUGGGAGCCAUGGAGUCAGAGACCAGGGUAUGCAGCCUCGGCUCAUCUACCUCACUGGAAAGAGGCUUAUUUUAUUCACCAGAGCCACAUCCCAGGUGCAGCAGGACCUUUGCAUUCUGCCAGUGCUGGGAGUAUCUAUCUGCGCACAGGAGGUGCUUGAGAGCAGGAAAAGAAGCCUGCAGGAAAGGGUUCCAGCAGCUCCUCCUGCUCUCAGAGUCAGCCUUGUCUUCUAUGAGAGCAGGAAAAGAAGCCUGUGAGAAAGGGUUCCAGCAGCUCCUCCUGCUCCCAGAGGCGGCCUCCUGCUCCAGGCGUGGAGGUCUCUCUGCAACUGGGCUUCUGGGCUGUUUGCUCCUGAUGUGCUCCCCAGGAUGGGCUUAAUGGGCGGGCAGGGGGUGCGAGGACCAGGGGGCGGCUUCAAAGGGUACAGCAACCAAAGCUUCCAAACUCAGCACUUGUGCUUCGGUCUCUCCAUGCUGCCACCUGCCCUAGGAUUUAUUCAUAGUGUUACAUUACCAGUUUAUGCAAAUGAUGUUUCAUUAAAGCUCAACUUUUUGAAAGUUCACGCCUUUUUUAGCUCCCUAAUGUUAGAUGGUAUUUUUGAGGCAAUCCUGAAUAUCUCUGAUAGUUGUGUCUUUUUGUUGUGGUUUUUGUGUGAUUGAGUUACCACCAAACCAACUGUUAUUGGAAACCUUUCAGGUAUGGCUUUUAGAAGACCUUGACCUACUCUUGCCUGUUUUGAUUCUCCAGUGUAUUGUGGAAAGUGGGAUCAUGUAGUUUCAUUUCUCCAGCAGAUAAGUCACCUUUUGCCAUCAAGGUUUUGGAAUCAGAGUUUCCAAAAAUUAUGUGUGCAAGUUGACAUGCUGGUACUUUAGCUAAUCUGGGUGUCAAAACAGAAUGCCAUAGACUAGGUAGCAUAGAAAAUUGAUUUCUCACAGUUCUGGAGAUGGUAAAAUCCAAGGUCAGAUGUUCAGCAGAUUCUGUGUCUGCAGAGGGCUGGCUUCCUGGUUCAUAGACAGCCAUCUUUUUCCUGUGUCCUUACAUGACAGAAGGGAUGAGGGAGCUCUCUGCAGUCCCUUUGAUAGGGGCACCAAUUCCAUUCACGAGGUCCCUGCCUUCAUGAACUUAUUCACCUGCCAAGGCCCCUCCUCCAAAUGCCAUCUCAUAGAAUUAGAAUUCGACACAUGAAUUUGAGGAGGACAGUAACAUUUGGUUUAUAGCAUCAUGUCACUCCAAGCCAUAUGCACUCACAGGAAAUCUAUAAUCUUCUAUUAAGUAUUUCCUGGUCCUUUCUGGGUUUAGAGAUUUUUUUUUUUUUUUUUUCUUUUUUGGCUUUAAGAAAAAUGAUCUUUUAUUUGAUCCAGGGUUUUUUCACAGAAAAGCACUGUGAGUUCACACACUUGCUAAAAAGAUACAGAAAUGAGAGUGGCUUUUGUCUUUUUUUUUUUUUUUUUUUUUUUUUGGAGACGGAGUUUUGCUCUUGUUGCCUAGGCUGGAGUGCAGUGGCAUGAUCUCAGUUCACUGCAACCUCCACCUACUGGGUUCAAGCAAUUGUCCUGCCUCAGCCUCCUGAGUAGCUGGGACAACAGGUGCGCACCACCAUGCCUGGCUAAUUUUUUUUAUUUUUAGUAGAGAUGGGGUUUCACCAUGUUGGUCAGGCUGGUCUCGAACUCCUGACCUCCUGAUCUGCCCGCCUCAGCCUCCCAAAGUGCUGGGAUUACAGGCGUGAGCCACCGCGCCCAGCCAGGUUCAUGUUCUUAAGCGGCACACUAUUUGCUAUGGCAGCAAGACCAAAAGGCUUAAGUACCAAAAAUGUACAUUAACUACAAACAGCUUCACGUAAACAAAACAAUGUGACCAUUUAUAUGUGACAGUAACCCAUAUGCCCAAAAUAUUUUUAACUGAGAUGGAAAUCAAUUUCUGCAUAACAAAUGUUAUCACUGUAUUGAGAUGAUAACAUUAUUUGUAUAUAAAUACUAUAAAUAAUAACGUAUUUAAGUUAUUCAACAAAUAAUUCUUUGGAAUCUACAAAAUGCUGGUUUCUGUUAUAGACCCUGAAUGUAGAAUUGAUAGAAAAUAUAGUAUUUGUUCUUAGAGAGUGGUAGACUAAAAAAAAACCAAAAUGUAUAUUAGGUAGAGGUUGUGCUGCUGAAAACAGGCAGAGACUGAGUUGCUAACACAAAAAUCAUGAAACCCAGUGUGAUUAUUUUUAAUAAUCGUUGAUAUUUUAAUACAGGUCUCUUGUUUUUUCUCAUGGAAACAUAUGACAAUAUGGAAUUUCUGGGUGUUUGGUAUCUGAACGUUUAAGUGUAACAAGUAUGACCAGUUUUCCGAAGAAAUUUUACCAGUUUACUUGUCCAUCAGUGACUC